rnacentral:rRNA from 1 species
GACGAACGCUGGCGGCGUGCUUAACACAUGCAAGUCGAACGGAAAGGCCCUGCUUUUGUGGGGUGCUCGAGUGGCGAACGGGUGAGUAACACGUGAGUAACCUGCCCUUGACUUUGGGAUAACUUCAGGAAACUGGGGCUAAUACCGGAUAGGAGCUCCUGCUGCAUGGUGGGGGUUGGAAAGUUUCGGCGGUUGGGGAUGGACUCGCGGCUUAUCAGCUUGUUGGUGGGGUAGUGGCUUACCAAGGCUUUGACGGGUAGCCGGCCUGAGAGGGUGACCGGCCACAUUGGGACUGAGAUACGGCCCAGACUCCUACGGGAGGCAGCAGUGGGGAAUAUUGCACAAUGGGCGGAAGCCUGAUGCAGCAACGCCGCGUGCGGGAUGACUGCCUUCGGGUUGUAAACCGCAUUCGCCUGUGACGAAGCGUGAGUGACGGUAAUGGGUAAAGAAGCACCGGCUAACUACGUG